ACAAAAGCAAUGCGUGGGAAUAGUAGGCAUUUUGCAGGCACUCCAGAGAGCCGGAGGUAGUGGAAUUUCGGCGUGUACCGGAUAUGGUGAAUGGACCCACAAGCUGUAGGUCGAAAUUGCGCAUAUGCAAGAGUAGCAGCCUACCGGAAACCUUUACCGUUAAAAAAAGGCAGGUAUCGGACUUGAUGAAUACCCAUAGUCCCGUACUUGAAAGAGUGGGCUUUUAUUAGCCAAUGAGGGUGGUACCGCGUGACGUAAGCUUUUCGUCCCUAUU
rnacentral:ncRNA from 1 species